rnacentral:rRNA from 1 species
GACGUAGGGCGCGAGCGUUGUCCGGAUUUAUUGGGCGUAAAGAGCUCGUAGGUGGUUUGUCGCGUUGUUCGUGAAAACUCACAGCUCAACUGUGGGCGUGCGGGCGAUACGGGCAGACUGGAGUACUGCAGGGGAGACUGGAAUUCCUGGUGUAGCGGUGGAAUGCGCAGAUAUCAGGAGGAACACCGGUGGCGAAGGCGGGUCUCUGGGCAGUAACUGACGCUGAGGAGCGGAAGCGUGGGGAGCGAACAGG